UAUCAUUUUUUUUUGAAAAUAUAAUUAAUACAUUAAUAAUGCUGCUGAAAUAAUUAAUAAGUACUGCAAUGAUCUAAUUAGUUCAAUAAACAUGUCUUCCAUUUUUUAUUUAAUAUAAUGGUUUUAUGUAUUUCAUUAUAAAUGUAUGAAUCUCUUUUAAAUUAAAUAUUUGCUGUUGCUAUUUUUCUCUACAAAUCGAAAGGAGUUUUUCCUUCUUAAUAGUAACAGCUUGCUUAUUCUUUUCUGUUCUAUUAACAAAAGACCAACAAAUUGGGUCAAAUCCUGUUAGUUUUAUACUCGGACGAUCGUAACAAAGGAAAUUGUGUUAGCGGAGUGCGUCAUAUUGUACCGAAGGAAUUCUCGAAGAGAGGAAGGAAAAAUGGAAAUAUGCCGUUCUUUACCGACGACUCAACGAGCCAGCUUAUCGCAUAUUUGUAUAUAUCAAAAAAUUGCUCAAAUUAACAUAAAAAGAAAUGUAGUUCUCUCAAUGGCAUGUCGGUAGAGAAAUGAUAGAUGUAAUUGGAAAAGAACUUUCCUAAAAGUUUUCUAUUGUAUUUCUAAAAUUUACUUAAGAGAUCAAAGAAAAGAGAUUGUGAUUUGUAAAGGAAAUAUAUUGAAAAAUUGUCUUUAGA